UUCAAUUCUGACAGUGAUCCCAGCUUGUCCCCUACUUACCCCUUCUGGUUCUGAUUGUUCCUUCCACCACACUGUCCAAGAAGCAAGUCCAGCCCCUAGAAGCUUGAGUUACAGAAAGACUAACACAAAGAUGCGCACUCGGUGCCCCUUUUCCUAAUAUUGAGGGAAGAAGACUGUGCUGUAUGGACAGGUGAUUCUGAUGCACGUUAACAAGUGAGAACCAUUGGGCUGAAAUGAGAAGGGGACAUAAUCUAAUCUGAUUGGUCACCUUGCUGUGGUGGACACAACGUUGAGGCACAAGAGUAAGUGUCCAGCCUGAACGGUCUCUGAAUAACUGCGUGAACCAGAGAAUGGACAAGCUGAGGACUAGAACAAAUGUUUGAAGAUAGAGUUCCUGGGGCACAGAGAGGCUGUCUCCCCGACAGAGGCUCGCGAGCUCCUCCCUUCCAUCCUCCAUCUGUGUGAGCCUUUCAACAGCUGCUCCCUGCAUUCAUGUCUCCAUCUCGGAGACUAAAAAAGCCUCAGAGAGUUUCUGUGAACUACUUGUAAGAAUUCAUCAAGGACCAGCAGGCAGUCCUGAAGUUCUGAUAAAUAAAGCAGGUCCAAGGGCAGU